UACGGAGGGUGCGAGCGUUGUCCGGAAUCACUGGGCGUAAAGGGCGCGUAGGCGGCCUGAUAAGUAGGGGGUUAAAUCCUGCGGCUUAACCGCAGGGCUGCCUUCUAAACUGUCGGGCUAGAGCACGGUAGAGGCAGAUGGAAUUCCCGGUGUAGCGGUGGAAUGCGUAGAGAUCGGGAAGAACAUCAGUGGCGAAGGCGGUCUGCUGGGCCGUUGCUGACGCUGAGGCGCGACAGCGUGGGGAGCAAACAGG
rnacentral:rRNA from 1 species